rnacentral:rRNA from 1 species
GACGAACGCUGGCGGCGUGCCUAAUACAUGCAAGUUGAGCGCUGAAGGUUGGUACUUGUACCCACUGGAUGAGCAGCGAACGGGUGAGUAACGCGUGGGGAAUCUGCCUUUGAGCGGGGGACAACAUUUGGAAACGAAUGCUAAUACCGCAUAAAAACUUUAAACACAAGUUUUAAGUUUGAAAGAUGCAAUUGCAUCACUCAAAGAUGAUCCCGCGUUGUAUUAGCUAGUUGGUGAGGUAAAGGCUCACCAAGGCGAUGAUACAUAGCCGACCUGAGAGGGUGAUCGGCCACAUUGGGACUGAGACACGGCCCAAACUCCUACGGGAGGCAGCAGUAGGGAAUCUUCGGCAAUGGACGAAAGUCUGACCGAGCAACGCCGCGUGAGUGAAGAAGGUUUUCGGAUCGUAAAACUCUGUUGGUAGAGAAGAACGUUGGUGAGAGUGGAAAGCUCAUCAAGUGACGGUAACUACCCAGAAGGGGACGGCUAACUACGUG